GACGAACGCUGGCGGCGUGCUUAACACAUGCAAGUCGAACGGAAAGGCCCUGCUUUUGUGGGGUGCUCGAGUGGCGAACGGGUGAGUAACACGUGAGUAACCUGCCCUUGACUUUGGGAUAACUUCAGGAAACUGGGGCUAAUACCGGAUAGGAGCUCCUGCUGCAUGGUGGGGGUUGGAAAGUUUCGGCGGUUGGGGAUGGACUCGCGGCUUAUCAGCUUGUUGGUGGGGUAGUGGCUUACCAAGGCUUUGACGGGUAGCCGGCCUGAGAGGGUGACCGGCCAAUUGGGGACUGAGAGACGGCCCAGACCCCUCGGGGGGGCAGCGGGGGGGAAUUUUGCAAAAGGGGGGGAAGCCUGGUGCAGCAACCCCGGGGGGGGGAUGGCGGCCUUGGGGUGGAAAACCGCUUUCGCCUGGGACGAAGGGGGGGUGACGGUAAUGGGAAAAGAAGCACCGGCUAACUACGU
rnacentral:rRNA from 1 species